rnacentral:rRNA from 1 species
UGCCAGCAGCCGCGGUAAUACAGAGGGUGCAAGCGUUGUUCGGAUUUAUUGGGCGUAAAGCGCGCGUAGGCGGUUUCAUAAGUCGGAUGUGAAAGCCCGGGGCCCAACCUCGGAAGUGCAUUCGAAACUGUGGAACUUGAGUCCUGGAGAGGGUGGUGGAAUUCCUGGUGUAGAGGUGAAAUUCGUAGAUAUCAGGAGGAACACCCGUGGCGAAGGCGGCCACCUGGACAGUGACUGACGCUGAGGCGCGAAAGCGUGGGGAGCAAACAGGAUUAGAUA